UCUGUGAUGAUGAGAAGCGCAGGGGUACGGACCUCAGCCAGUGAUGGGGGCUGAGUGCUGCUGCUGAUGUCUGAUUGGAGGGCGAGUGGUUCACUGACAGACCAACAGCAGCACGAGACAGACGCCACUCUGAACAGA
ensembl:snoRNA